rnacentral:rRNA from 1 species
AUACCGGAUAGAUCAUAGAUACUGGAAUGUUCAUUGAUCUAAAGCUCCGGCGUCCAAGGAUGGAUCUGCGACCUAUCAGGUAGUAGUGGGUGUAACGUACCUACUAGCCUACGACGGGUACGGGUUGUGAGAGCAAGAGCCCGGAGAUGGAUUCUGAGACAUGAAUCCAGGCCCUACGGGGCGCAGCAGGCGCGAAAUCUUUACAAUGCAGGAAACUGCGAUAAGGGGACCCCGAGUGCCAGCAUCUAAUGCUGGCUGUCCAGCUGUGUAAAUAGCAGUUGUUAGCAAGGGCCGGGCAAGACCGGUGCCAGCCGCCGCGGUAACACCGGCGGCCCGAGUGGUAACCGAUUUUAUUGGGUUUAAAGGGUCCGUAGCCGGCCUAUUAAGUCUCUUGGGAAAUCUGGCGGCUUAAUCGUCAGACGUUCAAGAGAUACUGAUGGGCUUGGGACCGGUAGAGGUGGGAGGUACUCCAGGGGUAGAGGUGAAAUUUUGUAAUCCUUGGGGGACCAUCGAUGGCGAAGGCAUCCCACUAGAACGGGUCCGACGGUGAGGGACGAAAGCUGGGGGCACGAACCGGAUUAGAUACCCGGGUAGUCCCAGCCGUAAACGAUGCUCGCUAGGUGUCAGGUGCGGUGCGACCGCAUUUGGUGCCGAAGUGAAAACUUGAAGCGAGCCACCUGGGAAGUACGGUCGCAAGGCUGAAACUUAAAGGAAUUGGCGGGGG